rnacentral:rRNA from 1 species
CGAAGUCGGGCAUUUGUCCGCCUAAGGUGUGGGUGGUGAUUGGGAUGAAGUCGUAACAAGGUAACCGUUGGGGAACCAGCGGUUGGAUCACCUCCUUU